GUUCACCGCCGAACAGGCGGCUUAGGUU
rnacentral:other from 1 species